CCUACGGGUGGCAGCAGUGAGGAAUAUUGGUCAAUGGGCGGAAGCCUGAACCAGCCAAGUAGCGUGCAGGAUGACGGCCCUACGGGUUGUAAACUGCUUUUAUACGGGAAUAACGCGCCUUACGUGUACGGCUUUGCAUGUACCGUAUGAAUAAGGACCGGCUAAUUCCGUGCCAGCAGCCGCGGUAAUACGGAGGGUCCGGGCGUUAUCCGGAUUUAUUGGGUUUAAAGGGAGCGUAGGCGGGUUGUUAAGCCGGCUGUGAAAUGUUCGGGCUCAACCCGGGCCUUGCAGCGCGUACUGGCGUGCGUGAGUCCGCGGGAGGCAGGCGGAAUUCGUGGUGUAGCGGUGAAAUGAUUAGAUAUGACGAAGAACCCCGAUUGCGAAGGCAGCCUGCUGCAGCGGAACUGACGCUGAUGCUCGAAAGCGCGGGUAUCGAACAGGAUUAGAUACCCCUGUAGUC
rnacentral:rRNA from 1 species